rnacentral:lncRNA from 1 species
UUAAAAGAACCCUAGAGUCUAAGUUUGGAAGAGCUGUUUUAGACAGGAGACCCCCCCCCCCCCCCAACUUUGUCUCCUUCGUCACAUCCCACAACAACGAACGCCCAAAAACCAGCCCCGCCCCAUCUUCACAAGAACCCUCACCAGCUGCUAGAGUAGCAGUCGCCCAAGCCGCCGGACCUCACAACUCACCAAAGCAGCCAUCACCGGAACCCUAGCUCCUCUUCAACAAGAACCAGUCGCCCCCGCCUGACCCCUCAUCUCUUUACUCACCCCCAACUCCGAAACACAAAGCCAGCAGUAACACCCCACCAAAAAAGCAUACACAGGCGCAAUGGAGGGCAGCGACAAUGGGAGAACGAGAGUAAGAGGGAGGGACGAGUUUCAUUCUAAAAAUAGAUUGAACAGUAGCUUCGAUUUAGGUUCGAUCAAGGUUCUAGUUGCCUGGUUCAUUUAUUUUUUCAUUCAAAUUCUGGAUAGAAUCCGGUGAGGUUUCCGGCAAGACGUUCCAAUAGAGAUAUUGUCCGUGGUUUUGACGUUUCAGAUUUUGCUGCUGAGGUCCAAUUCUCUAUCUUGUUACCUUAAUAUUUUAUCUAUUGGAAUGAAAAAUGGCAUGAAUUUCUUAUAAACUGUGUGUUAUUUUUGUUGAAUUGCUUGUGAUUAGACCAUCGAUAUUAUUACCUAUUUGAAUUAUAGUUAUUCCUUUCUUCAGUUUGAAUGAAUUUCCUUAAUGUGAUUCAUUUGAAAAUUGGGCUUGGAUUUUAGAUGAAGUAAAGUAGAAUUGGGGUUAAGUUCGCGUUCUUGUUUUAAUAUAAAUUAAUUGAAUCAUCGGGAUUGUGUACACGUUCGCGUGAUAUAAUUAUGAUUAUCAAAUUAAAUCAAGGUAUGCGUUCGCGCAACUUCGGACAAACUUUCUUAAUAUUGAUAAAGAGUGAUUAAUUGUGGACACGUAUACUUGAUAUGAUUCUUGACGCGCCGAACGGAAUGAGUACACGUACGCAUGACUUGUUUUAAGAUAAUUUCUUAAUUACAAAUAAAUUAAGUAAGUAAAAGCGAUAAGAGAUAAAAAUGUGCAUAGGUUCUUAAAUAAGUAAUUAGGCAAUUUAAUUGAGCCAAUUAUGAUUAAAGUGACCGUGCUAAAAUUCUGGAACUCGGGAAUUCCUAACACCUUCUCUCGGGUUUACAGAAUUUCUUACCCGAAUUUUUGUGUUCGUAGACCAUAAAUAGAGUCAUCUUCCUCGAUUCGGGAUUUUAAACCGGUGACUUGGGAUACCACAAAUUAUCUGAAGUGGCGACUCUGAAUUUGAAUAAAUAAUCUCGUUUCGGUUAUGGUCACUUUAAUUGGAAAAACUCCCUUAUACCCCCUUUCGGGUAGAAAAAGGAGGUGUGACAACUCUGGCAACUCUACUGGGGACAAGAACCCAGAAUCUCUAGUUCAGAGUUCAGAAUUCGAGCUUGUUAAUAUGAUCUAUGCUUGGCUUCAUUGUUUGUUGAUAUUAUUGUAUUUGUGGACCUUAUGUGCUAAUUGCCACUUAUUUACCGCUUUGAUAUUAUUUGAAUUGUAUUUAAAUGACUUCUUACGCCUCCCUUUUGAGUCUUCUAAAAAUAUGGUGCAUACGUACGCAUGUCCCACUUUUUUGCUAGAAGUCAUACCAAACAGAACGAGGCUUGGGUCAGCAACAAGGCAGGGUAGACUUUCGUGCUCCCGGUACGUUGCCCCCACCUCGGCUCGAGCUGUCCGCUCGGGUAAGCCAGGUCUAGAACACAACCCCAGGUUUAAACCUAGAAUAACAUAACCUCAUGUUGAAUCCCUAGUAGGAACAUUUGUUUGCAUCACGUGCAUUUGACCUUGGGGACUCAACAUAGGGGUUGGGACCGCCUAGGACAGGUGUACCCAAAAAUAAAAGACCAUCCUGAUGCAUAUUAUGUGCUACAUGUUCCAUUCUUCAAAGGUAAAACGGGUCUUUUGGCGAACCAAUGAUGGUUGAGGGUAAAUGAGAAAGAAAAGAGAGUGAAGUGUAAAAAUGAAGCAAGUAGGGCUCAGUUAUAUUUUUCUUUUACUUUUUUUUUUGAGAAAAAGACAAAAAAAUGAAAUUGAAAAAUACAAAAAAGAUUUUGCACUUUCCCAUUAUUUUUCAAAAAAAAAAAGGCAAAAAAUAUAUUUUCUCCGAAUUAGUUAUUUUUUAAUUUCUCACCCGUAUUCAAUCUUCCCGAACUACGCAUACCUGAUUCUCAUCUUGCGAGGCGGGAUACGUAGGCAGACCACAUAGGGUCCGGUUUUCUUAGUGAGUCUUAGGUUAUUGUCUUCGAGGGUCGUAGCCAAAUCUUACAUGUCUAGCCACUUUUGGCCACAUCGGUCAUUUUGCAAAAUAUGGCUAUUUUCGCAAAGUGGUUUGUUUAAUUGUGUCUGGAGAGUCUUCAAUCCACAAUUAGGUGUAUCUUUACUUUAAGGUCUAUCUUUGUCGCAUUUGCAUGUCUAGCCGUUUUUGGCCACAUAGGCCAUUUUGCAAAAGUGGGCUAUUUUCGCAAAAGUGGUUCAAUUAACCCAUGUCUUAGAGUUCUAAGUCCACAACAAGGUGUCUUAUCUGUUUAAGAUCCAUUCUGUUGAAUUUGCAAUGAUUAGCCAUUUCUUAGCCACAUAGGCCAUUUCUUCAAAAUGGGUCAUUUUUGCAAAGUAAUUUUUUCAUGUCUUAGAGGUCACCUUUGAUGAGUUUGCGCCAAUAAGCUACGAAGUUUAAUUUUAAAAAAUAGCCACAAUCAUGUCUUGCAUGUGUCUAGCAGGGAGUGUUAUUGUCCCACAUAGUGUUCUAAAUCUUUAACUCUAUUUAGUUUUGGUUUUCUCAUGUAGGUGUGGAUCUACUUACCGGAGUUUGAGCAUGACAGAUACCUCAGGACCAUCCAGUCAGGAUCGCUGCAUUCAAGAGCUGGUUAAAGGAGACUUUUAUGUUUUGAGUCUAAUUUUUUUAUGUUGUCUUGUACUUUAUAGUCAUGUUCAGCAGUACUAAUUCUUUUAGUUGGUGUCAGAGUUUGUCGUAGUAUAGUUGAGUUUGUCAAGUCUGUCGUUAUCGUAUUUCCUGUUUUAUAUUUGAAAAUAAAAAAGUCGUAAUUAAUAAUCCAAAAAUAUUUUUAUUUUUUUA